rnacentral:rRNA from 1 species
UACGUAGGUGGCAAGCGUUGUUCGGAAUUACUGGGCGUAAAGCGCGUGUAGGCGGCUCUUCAAGUCAGGCGUGAAAGCCCCGGGCUUAACUCGGGAACUGCGCUUGAUACUGUCGAGCUAGAGUGUGGAAGGGGCGAUUGGAAUUCCGUGUGUAGCGGUGAAAUGCGUAGAUAUACGGAGGAACACCGGUGGCGAAGGCGGGAUCCUGGGCCAGUACUGACGCUGAGGAGCGAAAGCGUGGGGAGCAAACAGG